GACGAACGCUGGCGGCGUGCUUAACACAUGCAAGUCGAACGGAAAGGCCCUGCUUUUGUGGGGUGCUCGAGUGGCGAACGGGUGAGUAACACGUGAGUAACCUGCCCUUGACUUUGGGAUAACUUCAGGAAACUGGGGCUAAUACCGGAUAGGAGCUCCUGCUGCAUGGUGGGGGUUGGAAAGUUUCGGCGGUUGGGGAUGGACUCGCGGCUUAUCAGCUUGUUGGUGGGGUAGUGGCUUACCAAGGCUUUGACGGGUAGCCGGCCUGAGAGGGUGACCGGCCGGCGUGAGACGGGGGUCCGGCCCAGCCGGCGGGAGGCGGCGGGGGGGGGGAAUAGAGGACGACGGGGGGAAGGCGGAGGGAGCAGCGCCGGGGGGGGGAUGGCGGCGGGGGGGUUGUACGCCGCUUGCGGCGGUGAGGAGGAGUGGGUGGGGGGAGGGGGCAACGAACCACCUGCAAACGACGGGCCAGCGGCCGCGGUAAUAAGAGGAAGAGCAGCCGCCUGACC
rnacentral:rRNA from 1 species